UGAUUUGAACACAUGCCCUUCACUGUAAGUGCUUCGCUCAGGAAUUGUAACUAAUUGAGCUAUAGUUGACUAAACGUAAUACUUAAGACAAUUACACUGUUUUAUUUGUCUUCUGUCCUCUUUAUCUGCAGAUAUCAAACCACAUCCCUCCUUUUUCUCGAGGAGGAAGAAAGGUUUUGUCAGCACCCCUGUCUGCUUUGUUCUUUCCCUUCUCUCAGAAGUCCAUUUCUCUUUUAUUCGACUCGCAGCCAUGCAUGAGGGAAUCGCUCUGCUUUGUGGUGUGUCUGUUCCGCUAGUUUUAAAUCAGUUGGGUUCCUUUCUUCUGUUGCUGGCAGUGUAAGGCACCUUGUGCUUUUGCAACAACAGAAUUUAUUUCAGCUUCAGGGCCAGUGAAGGUUGUGCUCAGCUCCAUUCUGAUGUUGCCCAGGGCCCAUUGUAAUCCUUCAACGAGGAAGUGAUUCGUUGCUAAAAUAACAGAUCAUUACAUUGAAGCUUGUGGGAUCUUGCUGUACACAAAAUGGCUGCUGUGUUUCCAACAUUGAAACAAUAGCCGCAUCUCAAUGAAAAGGAUGUCUUCCCUUUUGCAGAUGGUUGGUGUUAACGCCGGUCAGCAGUGAUGUAGCGGGGUAAGAAGAGUCACUAUCCUGACAGAUCCUGCAUUAUCUGGGGUUAGUGGAGUUAUCCCCUGCUGACUCUACACAGGAUCUCCAACCAACAUUAUAUACCAGGUACAUUGACGACAUUUUCUUCCUCUGG